AAAAAGACAAACCCUAGUUUCCGUGUCCAAUAUUUAACCGUCCGUCUUAUUUAAAAAAAUUAUGAAAAGAAUUAAAAAGACAAGUCACGCAUAAAAUAUUAAUCAUGUUUUAUCAUCUAGCAACAAUGAAAAUACGAAUUAUAAAAAAAAUUUAUAUAAGACGGACAGUUAAAGUUGGACACGGAAACCCAAUGUUUGCCUUCUU
rnacentral:pre_miRNA from 1 species